ACUCCUACGGGAGGCAGCAGUGGGGAUUAUUGGACAAUUGGCGAAAGCCUGAUCCAGCCAUGCCGCGUGUGUGAAGAAGGUCUUCGGAUUGUAAAGCACUUUAAGUUGGGAGGAAGGGCAUUUACCUAAUCCGUAAGUGUUUUGACGUUACCGACAGAAUUAACACCGGCUACCUCUGUGCCAGCAGCCGCGGUAAUAA
rnacentral:rRNA from 1 species